UAGUCCACGCCGUAAACGAUGUCAACUAGCUGUUGGGAUUUUUCUUAGUAGCGAAGCUAACGCGAUAAGUUGACCGCCUGGGGAGUACAGCCGCAAGGUUAAAACUCAGACGAAUUGACGGGGACCCGCACAAGCGGUGGAUGAUGUGGAUUAAUUCGAUGCAACGCGAAAAACCUUACCUACACUUGACAUGUCAGAAAUUUUCAAGAGAUUGAUUAGUGCCCGAAAGGGAAUCUGAACACAGGUGCUGCAUGGCUGUCGUCAGCUCGUGUCGUGAGAUGUUGGGUUAAGUCCCGCAACGAGCGCAACCCUUAUCCUUAGUUGCUACGCAAGGGCACUCUAAGGAGACUGCCGGUGACAAACCGGAGGAAGGUGGGGAUGACGUCAAGUCCUCAUGGCCCUUAUGUGUAGGGCUUCACACGUCAUACAAUGGUCGGUACAGAGGGUUGCCAAGCCGCGAGGUGGAGCUAAUCCCAGAAAGCCGAUCGUAGUCCGGA
rnacentral:rRNA from 1 species